UACGAAGGGGGCUAGCGUUGCUCGGAAUCACUGGGCGUAAAGGGUGCGUAGGCGGGUCUUUUAAGUCAGGGGUGAAAUCCUGGAGCUCAACUCCAGAACUGCCUUUGAUACUGAGGGUCUUGAGUUCGGGAGAGGUGAGUGGAACUGCGAGUGUAGAGGUGAAAUUCGUAGAUAUUCGCAAGAACACCAGUGGCGAAGGCGGCUCACUGGCCCGAUACUGACGCUGAUGCACGAAAGCGUGGGGAGCAAACAGG
rnacentral:rRNA from 1 species